GCCAGCGAAGCUCACCAGGCCGAGCGCCGGUUUCGUAAUCCGGAGGCAGCGGGUUCAACUCCCGUCGCUGGCU
rnacentral:tRNA from 1 species